rnacentral:lncRNA from 1 species
GUCUGUAAAGAUGUAAUAAGAGGCACAAAUCAUCAAAAGUGAUGCUAAAAGCUUUAUUUACUUUCAUUUAUUUGCGUAGAGUGUAUUACUGAACUUUAAAUCGGUGUUUAUUGGCUCUCGGUUUCCAUUCUGUGGUGCUGUUAUGCUAGCUAAUGCUACAUAGCUAACGCUAGCUACACUUCACUGGGAUGGAGAAAUGCAAGUGGCGCACCUUCCUUACCUAGCGUGUGUGUCUGAGUGUGGGGAUGAUGCCAAAUGGGAACAGUUCCAAUCCACUGAUGCCAGGCCUACGCAUUCCAAUCAGCUCUCUUUAAUUUGCACCUUCAGAGCCACGCUCGGAAGCUUCAGCUAAAAGAUUUUUCCCAAUACACUGCCCUUCUGAGACAUCCAGAAUAGCAAGACAUGAG